rnacentral:misc_RNA from 1 species
UCAAACUUGGUCAUUUAGGAGGAAGUAAAAGUCGUAACAAGGUUUCCGUAGGUGAACCUGCGGAAGGAUCAUUCCGAGUCCAUAUUGGAGGUGUUGUGGUGGCAUGGCAGAGAGAUGAGGCAGUGUGCCAAUGACAUCACUCGUCUACCACCCACAACGCUCUACAAAUAAACCCAAGUGGCCUGUGGGCCUUUGGUGUUGGUGUGAGGAGUGAAAGGACAUCAUUGGUGCUUUCAGCUCUGCACACCAUCUAUCUAAAUAGACACUGGAUGUUUGUAUGACCGAGUAAACAAUUGACUAAUACAAUACAAUACAUACAACUUUUAACAAUGGAUCUCUUGGCUCUUGCAUCGAUGAAGAACGCAGC